UUAGAUCAGAAGCGAGAAUGUUGACAUGAGUAGCGACAAAGAGGGUGAGAGUCCCUCUCGCCGAAAGUCCAAGGGUUCCUGCUUAAAGCUAAUCUGAGCAGGGUGAGCCGGCCCCUAAGGCGAGGCCGAAAGGCGUAGUCGAUGGGAACUAGGUUAAUAUUCCUAGGCCAGUGGGAAGUGACGGAUCUCGAAGGUUGUCUGCCCUUAUCGGAUUGGGUGGGCCGCUUAGAGGUUCCUGGAAAUAGCCCCACAUCAGACCGUACCCUAAACCGACACAGGUGGACUGGUAGAGUAUACCAAGGCGCUUGAGAGAACCACGUUAAAGGAACUCGGCAAAAUGCCUCCGUAAGUUCGCGAGAAGGAGGCCCCAUCAGUAGGCAACUAUUGGUGGGGGGCACAAACUAGGGGGUGGCGACUGUUUACUUAAAACACAGGGCUGUGCGAAGCCGUAAGGCGACGUAUACAGUCUGACGCCUGCCCGGUGCUGGAAGAUUAAGAGGAGGGGUGCAAGCUCUGAAUUGAAGUCCCAGUAAACGGCGGCCGUAACUAUAACGGUCCUAAGGUAGCGAAAUUCCUUGUCGGGUAAGUUCCGACCUGCACGAAUGGCGUAACGAUCUCCCCGCUGUCUCUAACGUGGACUCAGCGAAAUUGAACUGUGUGUCAAGAUGCACACUUCCCGCGGUUAGACGGAAAGACCCCAUGCACCUUUACUCUAGCUUUGCACUGGCAUCAGGAUUGUGAUGUGCAGGAUAGGUGGUAGGCAUUGAAGCGGGGACGCCAGUCUUCGUGGAGCCUCCCUUGAGAUACCACCCUUCGCACUCUUGAUGUCUAACCGCGGCCCGUUAUCCGGGUCCGGGACCCUGCAUGGUGGGGAGUUUGACUGGGGCGGUCGCCUCCUAAACAGUAACGGAGGCGCGCGAUGGUUGGCUCAGACCGGUCGGAAAUCGGUCGUUGAGUGCAAUGGCAGAAGCCAGCCUGACUGCAAGUCUGACAAGACGAGCAGAGACGAAAGUCGGUCAUAGUGAUCCGGUGGUCCCAAGUGGGAGGGCCAUCGCUCAACGGAUAAAAGGUACGCUGGGGAUAACAGGCUGAUGAUGCCCAAGAGUCCAUAUCGACGGCAUCGUUUGGCACCUCGAUGUCGGCUCAUCUCAUCCUGGGGCUGGAGCAGGUCCCAAGGGUAUGGCUGUUCGCCAUUUAAAGAGGUACGUGAGCUGGGUUUAGAACGUCGUGAGACAGUUCGGUCCCUAUCUGCCGUGGGUGUAGGAGACUUGAGAAGAGUUGCCCCUAGUACGAGAGGACCGGGGUGAACGAACCACUGGUGGACCAGUUAUCGUGCCAACGGUAGUGCUGGGUAGCUAUGUUCGGACAGGAUAAACGCUGAAGGCAUCUAAGCGUGAAGCCCCCUUCAAAACAAGGUCUCCCUUGAGAGCCGUGGAAGACCACCACGUCGAUAGGCCGGAGGUGUAAGUGCAGCAAUGCAUUCAGCUGACCGGUACUAAUUGCUCGAAUAAAAAAA
rnacentral:rRNA from 1 species